UACGAAGGGGGCUAGCGUUGUUCGGAAUUACUGGGCGUAAAGCGUGCGCAGGCGGCUUCUCAAGUCAGGGGUGAAAGCCCAGAGCUCAACUCUGGAAUUGCCUUUGAGACUGAGUGGCUUGAGUACGAGAGAGGUGAGUGGAAUUCCCAGUGUAGAGGUGAAAUUCGUAGAUAUUGGGAAGAACACCGGUGGCGAAGGCGGGUCUCUGGGCCGUAACUGACGCUGAGGAGCGAAAGCGUGGGGAGCGAACAGG
rnacentral:rRNA from 1 species